UUAGGGCCCUGGCUCCAUCUCCUUU
rnacentral:ncRNA from 2 species